GUAAGGAAUAUUGGACAAUGGACGCAAGUCUGAUCCAGCCAUGCCGCGUGAAGGAUUAAGGUCCUCUGGAUUGUAAACUUCUUUUAUAAGGGACGAAAAAAGGCUUUUCUAAGUCGUCUGACGGUACCUUAUGAAUAAGCACCGGCUAACUCCGUGCCAGCAGCCGCGGUAAUACGGAGGGUGCAAGCGUUAUCCGGAUUCACUGGGUUUAAAGGGUGCGUAGGCGGGCAGGUAAGUCAGUGGUGAAAUCCUAGAGCUUAACUCUAGAACUGCCAUUGAUACUAUCUGUCUUGAAUAUUGUGGAGGUAAGCGGAAUAUGUCAUGUAGCGGUGAAAUGCUUAGAUAUGACAUAGAACACCUAUUGCGAAGGCAGCUUACUACGCAUAUAUUGACGCUGAGGCACGAAAGCGUGGGGAUCAAACAGGAUUAGAAACUCGGGUAGUCC
rnacentral:rRNA from 1 species